UACGUAGGGGGCAAGCGUUGUCCGGAUUUAUUGGGCGUAAAGAGCGUGUAGGCGGCUUUGCAAGUCCGUUGUGAAAACUCGAGGCUCAACCUCGAGACGCCGGUGGAAACUGCAAAGCUAGAGUCCGGAAGAGGAGAGUGGAAUUCCUGGUGUAGCGGUGAAAUGCGUAGAUAUCUGGAGGAACACCGGUGGCGAAGGCGGCGUCCUGGACCAACACUGACACUGAUGAGCGAAAGCCAGGGGAGCAAACGGG
rnacentral:rRNA from 1 species